rnacentral:rRNA from 1 species
UCUGGUGAUUUGUGCGUAGUGGACCCACCUGUUCUCAUUCCGAACACAGUAGUGAAACGCUACAGCGCUGACGAUACUAGCCAAUUGUUGUGCUGGGACAAUAGGUCAUUGCCGGAG